GUGGGGAAUAUUGGACAAUGGGCGAAAGCCUGAUCCAGCCAUGCCGCGUGUGUGAAGAAGGUCUUCGGAUUGUAAAGCACUUUAAGUUGGGAGGAAGGGCAGUAAGUUAAUACCUUGCUGUUUUGACGUUACCGACAGAAUAAGCACCGGCUAACUUCGUGCCAGCAGCCGCGGUAAUACGAAGGGUGCAAGCGUUAAUCGGAAUUACUGGGCGUAAAGCGCGCGUAGGUGGUUUUGUAAGUUGGGGGUGAAAUCCCCGGGCUCAACCUGGGAACUGCCUCCAAAACUGCAUGACUAGAGUACGGUAGAGGGUAGUGGAAUUUCCUGUGUAGCGGUGAAAUGCGUAGAUAUAGGAAGGAACACCAGUGGCGAAGGCGACUACCUGGACUGAUACUGACACUGAGGUGCGAAAGCGUGGGGAGCAAACAGGAUUAGAAACCCGUGUAGUCC
rnacentral:rRNA from 1 species